rnacentral:rRNA from 1 species
CCUACGUGUGGCAGCAGUGGGGAAUAUUGGGCAAUGGGCGCAAGCCUGACCCAGCAACGCCGCGUGAAGGAAGAAGGCUUUCGGGUUGUAAACUUCUUUUAAGAGGGAAGAGCAGAAGACGGUACCUCUUGAAUAAGCCACGGCUAACUACGUGCCAGCAGCCGCGGUAAUACGUAGGUGGCAAGCGUUGUCCGGAGUUACUGGGUGUAAAGGGAGCGUAGACGGCGCUGAAAGUCCGGAGGGAAAGCCAAGGGCUUAACCAGGGUACUGCUCUGGAAACUGUGGAGCUUGAGUGCGGGAGGGGCAGGCGGAAUGCCUAGUGUAGCGGUGAAAUGCGGAGAUAUUAGGAGGAACACCGGCGGCGAAGGCGGCCUGCUGGACCGUAACUGACGUUGAGGCUCGAAAGCGUGGGGAGCAAACAGGAUUAGAUACCCUGGUAGUC